rnacentral:piRNA from 1 species
UAGGCUGUAUGACUCACUCUUGUGGGCCGUG